AGCGCGGCUCUGAAGGGCCUCUGAGCGGACGCGGCGGCGGUGGCGGGACGCCCUGCCCACCAGUUGAGCGCCAACUGCUGAGGCGGCUGAGGAGAUUGGAAAAUUAAAGAUGGUCAUACCAAGUGGAACAAAUCAUUAUUCCCACUGACCAAGAGCUGUAUCCAGAAAGAGAGAGAGGCAUGCCAAAUCUAAUGGAUUCCACUUUGUGCUGUAUAAAUAAGACAGCCUUGUGCCCAGAGUUCCUCUCCUCCAGAGGUAGGUAAGGGAAUUUAUCAAACUUGUGUCCAUCCCAU
rnacentral:lncRNA from 1 species